rnacentral:rRNA from 1 species
UGCAAGUCGAGCGGAAACGAUGGAAGCUUGCUUCCAGGCGUCGAGCGGCGGACGGGUGAGUAAUGCAUAGGAAUCUGCCCGGUAGUGGGGGAUAACUCGGGGAAACUCGAGCUAAUACCGCAUACGUCCUACGGGAGAAAGUGGGCUUUUGCUCACGCUAUCGGAUGAGCCUAUGUCAGAUUAGCUAGUUGGUGRRGUAAAGGCUCACCAAGGCGACGAUCUGUAGCUGGUCUGAGAGGAUGAUCAGCCACACUGGGACUGAGACACGGCCCAGACUCCUACGGGAGGCAGCAGUGGGGAAUAUUGGACAAUGGGGGCAACCCUGAUCCAGCCAUGCCGCGUGUGUGAAGAAGGCUUUCGGGUUGUAAAGCACUUUCAGCGAGGAGGAAAGCGGUGUUGUUAAUACCAGCAUCGUGUGACGUUACUCGCAGAAGAAGCACCGGCAAACUCCGUGCCAGCAGCCGCGGUAAUACGGAGGGUGCGAGCGUUAAUCGGAAUUACUGGGCGUAAAGCGUGCGUAGGUGGUUAAGUAAGCCAGAUGUGAAAGCCCCGGGCUUAACCUGGGAACGGCAUCUGGAACUGCUUAACUAGAGUGCAGUAGAGGAAGGUAGAAUUCCACGUGUAGCGGUGAAAUGCGUAGAUAUGUGGAGGAAUACCAGUGGCGAAGGCGGCCUUCUGGACUGACACUGACACUGAGGUACGAAAGCGUGGGGAUCAAACAGGAUUAGAUACCCUGGUAGUCCACGCCGUAAACGAUGUCUACUAGCCGUUGGGCUCCUUGAGAGCUUAGUGGCGCAGCUAACGCAAUAAGUAGACCGCCUGGGGAGUACGGCCGCAAGGUUAAAACUCAAAUGAAUUGACGGGGGCCCGCACAAGCGGUGGAGCAUGUGGUUUAAUUCGAUGCAACGCGAAGAACCUUACCUACCCUUGACAUCC